rnacentral:lncRNA from 1 species
GCGCGCCCCCUCCCACCCCGCGCCUGGCUCGCUCGCGGGUACAGUAGGUGUACAGCCAGGGGAAGAAGACACUGGGGCUGCCGGGAGGCUGAACCUGACUUCUCUUCAUUGUAGGCUCCUAUUGUCUUAACUCUGCCUUUCAAGAUUUUGCAACUCUGGCUCAACUAACAUCUUCAAGAUGCAGCAAAUUUGACUUUGAUGUGGAGAUUAGAGUGGAUAUUAAGCAAAUGACAACCUUUUUACUUGCAUUAAGAGAGAAAGAAGAAGCAGUGUCCUACUUCAGCAGGAGGUACUUUUGUUUUGUGUAACUAAGGCAUUUCCAAUUUAGGGAAUAGCAGUAGGUCAAGGUCCAGGGAGGAGGUCAGUGAAAGACUAAUAAAAUGUAUUUUCUCUUUUUCUGUAUGUUUCUCUGACUAGAACAGAAACUGACCUCUACAGGAUGUUUGGGUGAAGGUAAGGCUA